GCUCUAGUAGCUCAAUCGGUCUAGAGCGCCGUGCUUAUACAGAAGUACUUUGUAUACAAAAGUCUAUUCUAAAAAUAGAAAAGUCACGCGGAGGUUGCGGGUUCGAGCCCCGCCUAGAGCA